rnacentral:rRNA from 1 species
ACUCCUACGGGAGGCAGCAGUGGGGAAUUUUGGACAAUGGGCGAAAGCCUGAUCCAGCCAUGCCGCGUGAGUGAAGAAGGCCUUCGGGUUGUAAAGCUCUUUUAGUCGGAAAGAAAAGAUCGUAAAUAAUACUUGCGAUUAAUGACGGUACCGACAGAAAAAGCACCGGCUAACUACGUGCCAGCAGCCGCGGUAAUACGUAGGGUGCGAGCGUUAAUCGGAAUUACUGGGCGUAAAGGGUGCGCAGGCGGUUUUGUAAGUCAGAUGUGAGAUCCCCGGGCUUAACCUGGGAAUUGCGUUUGAAACUAUAAGACUAGAGUGCAAGAGAGGGGAGUGGAAUUCCAUGUGUAGCAGUGAAAUGCGUAGAGAUGUGGAAGAACACCGAUGGCGAAGGCAGCUCCCUGGAUUGACACUGACGCUCAUGCACGAAAGCGUGGGGAGCAAACAGGAUUAGAUACCCUGGUAGUCCACGCCCUAAACUAUGUCAACUGGUUGUCAGAUCUAAUUAAGGAUUUGGUAACGUAGCUAACGCGUGAAGUUGACCGCCUGGGGAGUACGAUCGCAAGAUUAAAACUCAAAGGAAUUGACGG